UCUCUUGUAGUGUAACGGUUUAUCACAUGGGCCCUUGAAGCUUGAUAUGGCGGUUCGACUCCUCCCAAGAGAA